rnacentral:rRNA from 1 species
UACCAGCUCUCCGAGUGGUAGGGAUGUUUAUUGGGCUUAAAGCGUCCGUAGCCGGCUUAGCAAGUCUCCUGUUAAAUUCAGCGACCUAAUCGUUGAGCCGCGGGAGAUACUACUAGGCUAGGAGGCGGGAGAGGUCAACGGUACUUCCGGGGUAGGGGUGAAAUCCUAUAAUCCCGGGAGGACCACCAGUGGCGAAGGCUGUUGACUAGAACGCGCUCGACGGUGAGGGACGAUAGCUGGGGGAGCGAACCGGAUUAGAUACCCGGGUAGUCCCAGCUGUAAACGAUGCGAGCUAGGUGUUGGGGUGGCUACGUGCCACUUCAGUGCCGCAGGGAAGCCAUUAAGCUCGCCGCCUGGGGAGUACGGCCGCAAGGCUGAAACUUAAAGGAAUUGGCGGGGAGCACCACAAGGCGUGAAGCUUGCGGUUC